AACGAACGCUGGCGGCGUACUUAACACAUGCAAGUCGGACGAGAAAGGAAGCCUCGGCUUCUGAGUAAAGUGGCGUACGGGUGCGUAACACGUAAGUAAUCUACCCUGGACUCUGGGAUAACUCCCCCGAAAGGGGGGCGUAAGACUGGAUAGAGACCUGAGGUGCAAGCCUUGGGAGGAAAACAAGCCUCUGCAUCAUGCUUGUGGUUCAGGAUGAGCUUGUGGCCCAUUAGCUAGUUGGCGGGGGUAAUGGCUCACCAAGGCAACGAUGGGUAGCUGGUCUGAGAGGACGAUCAGCCACACUGGCACUGAGAUACGGGCCAGACUCCUACGGGAGGCAGCAGUGGGGGAAUUUUCCGUCAAUGGGCGAAAGCCUGACGGAGUGACGCCGCGUGGGGGACGAA
rnacentral:rRNA from 1 species